rnacentral:rRNA from 1 species
UACGGAGGGUGCUAGCGUUGUUCGGAAUUACUGGGCGUAAAGGGCGCGUAGGCGGCCGUUUGCGUCGGAUGUGAAAGCCCGGGGCUCAACCUCGGAACGGCAUUCGAUACGGGACGGCUGGAGACCGGGAGAGGAGAGUGGAAUAGCCAGUGUAGAGGUGAAAUUCGUAGAUAUUGGCUGGAACACCGGUGGCGAAAGCGGCUCUCUGGCCCGGCUUCUGACGCUGAGGCGCGAAAGCGUGGGGAGCAAACAGG